rnacentral:tRNA from 1 species
GAGAGGGGCAUGAUUGCAUCUAAUACUGCUAAUUUUUAGUUUCCCCAGUUUAACUCCGGGGCCCACUCG